rnacentral:rRNA from 1 species
GAUGAACGCUGGCGGCGUGCCUAAUACAUGCAGGUCGAGCGAACAGACGAGGAGCUUGCUCCUCUGACGUUAGCGGCGGACGGGUGAGUAACACGUGGAUAACCUACCUAUAAGACUGGGAUAACUUCGGGAAACCGGAGCUAAUACCGGAUAAUAUAUUGAACCGCAUGGUUCAAUAGUGAAAGACGGUUUUGCUGUCACUUAUAGAUGGAUCCGCGCCGCAUUAGCUAGUUGGUAAGGUAACGGCUUACCAAGGCAACGAUGCGUAGCCGACCUGAGAGGGUGAUCGGCCACACUGGAACUGAGACACGGUCCAGACUCCUACGGGAGGCAGCAGCAGGGAAUCUUCCGCAAUGGGCGAAAGCUUGACGGAGCAACGCCGCGUGAGUGAUGAAGGUCUUCGGAUCGUAAAACUCUGUUAUUAGGGAAGAACAAAUGCGUAAGUAACUAUGCACGUCUUGACGGUACCUAAUCAGAAAGCCACGGCUAACUACGUG